AAACUCUUGCCAAAUCCUGGCAUUCUUACUGACACAGUAACAUCAUAUGCUGCGAGUAGUUCUGCUGCUUUGGGAAUCCAGUGUUCUAUUGCAGAACGCGAUCACAAAGUAUUUCAACUUGAACACACAAUUUUAAAUGUUUAGAUUUUAAAAGCCACCAAAAAUUGCUGUGUGCCCAGUUGCAUCAGAUGGUUUUCCAUGAGGUUAGAUGUAUAAUAUUAACAUGGGAUAAACUAUUUAUUAAACAGGAACAAAUAUCAACUGAGUAAACACUUAUUAGUGCUUAUAAUGUCUAGCCUAAAUGUAGUCCCUGCCUUUGCAUGUUGGAACUGCAGUGUCUUACUAAGCAACUGCUUUCUUGUGCAAAUUGGAGGGCAGAAUUCUGAGGGAUGCAAAACUUCUGCAACUUGUGUCAUUCUCAAAAUGACGUCUUUAAAUGGAGAUACACCCAAGAGUGAUGAAAAAUUUAUGAAGGACUCUCCCGAGUCCAAUAAGAACAUCCUUGAAAAUAAAUAAGCCCAAUAAGAAAAUCCUGGCUUCAAAGCAGUCCUGGUAUGAAAAGGUAAAACUGAUUAUCUGUGGAGCAGUAGGGGCUGAAUCCUGAGAAAUUCACCUUUAGAAGUGAGCAUUGUUACCCUCCCUGUGGUUCACUGCUUUAACUUGCAAUUUGGAUUCCUGUCAUGAAGGAUACACAAGACAUUAGUGCACGUGGCAGAUACUCUCAUCGUUCACUUCUCCAUAGACAGAUCAACUCAGUUUGGAAGGAACACUGGACACUACAGAGGAGGUCAAUGCUCAGACAGCCAACUAAGGACUUUACUAUUUAUUGAUCUUUUCUGCUGUAUCUUUCAGUGCUUCUCUAAUCCACAUCAUCUCAUUUCUUCGAUAGGACAGCUCAUCAUCUCACAGGGCUGACUUUCCCCUGCACAAAUGCUUUGCCUCUAAUAAGCUGGCCUUCAGAAACUGCAGUAGAACACGAGCACUCUUAGGGUUUUGGAUCCUCCAUGAGGUUGUAGCCUUCUUGAGUGAUCAUGGCUGUGAUUCAGGCUGGGGAGAACCUGCAGUCGGAAACAAGCUGGACCACAUCAUACUCAUGUAUUAGCUUCCACGCUUUAAGACUUUGGUGUUUAUACACAUGACACUAUCUUCAAGAUGUAUUUGAGACUCAGCAGGUGAAGGUUGUUAUAGCCCAUUUUAUAGUCAAGAAACACCUAAGUGGAAGGCACAAAGACAGGAAAGGCCCUGAAGAUGUGAGGUGGGAAGCAGAAAUCCUGCCUUGCCUCAAGACAGAGCUAUUGAUGCAGUUUGCAGCUCAGCCCACUGAGCUGUGACCUCCUCAGGUGGCAAAUAUUUGCAAGGCACCCUUCCUCAAAGGUUCUUUUCUACUCCAACCCCAUAUCCCAUUGGUGAGAGGAGAUAGGAUGGCUUGUCACUCCAUAUGUUCUCUGUCACCUCUCCCCAAUACAUUUGCUCAACAAAAGAAGAAUGCGCCCAGGUUCUUUGGCAGACAAAAGGAUAUGCAGGAGCAUUUGUCCCCUUAGAGACUUAGUAAACAUCUCAUGGGUAGAUGGAGAGUAGCUGGAAACACAGACCUAUUUCCAGUGCUCUGAGAAACCUCUGGCCUACACUGUCUCUUAAAGAAACAGAGUGGAGGAAUGUAAACAUGUGUUUGGCCAGUAAACGAGUUGUUAUGUAAAUGUUAAUUAUGAAAAGGAUUUCCCAUGAGUAUAGGGCUUUCAACACGACUUUGAUCUCAUGCAGGACUCAAGUCUCAGGAGUCACAUGCUCUGCCUUAGAACUGUGCUGACACUUCUCCCAGCCCUAAGAAGCUGCAAGGGCAUUUGCUGUAGCACGGGAACAGAAGGAGCUUUGAUGAUUGAAACUGAAGCUUGCACAGCAUCAUGCCGAAGCAAGCUUCUGUUUAAUUAAAACGUUCCAUUGGUUGGAACAUGUGAGCUUCUCGCCGUGAUCUCUGGGUGGCCAAUGCAUUAAAAAAUCAGAAAAAAGUUUUGUCUUGAGCCACACAAACUUUCUCCUGAUCUCCGUAAUCAAGGUUGACCCGCCAUAAAAUCCAUCUCUCAGCCAGCUAUUUACUUCUCAUCAGGUUUUAAUGCCUUUCUUUGCUCUCCCCUCACCUCCUGCACCGUCCUGAAGGUCUUUGUUUUUCUUUGCAAGGCCAACACAAUUCAGGUUACACCUACAGAGCACACCAUAGCAGCCUGCUAAGCAGGUAGGUGUAACAAUGAGGUGGAUUGCUGAGCUAGAAUACUCACAUUGUUGUUUACAGCAACCCAGCUGGUAUGAUGUAAAUAUACCCAUAGGCGUUGUCUGCCUCUCUCCUUCCAUCUCAUCCUUGCUUCCUGUGCCCUUCUUUUCCUUCCCUCUCCCCUGCUUACCUUCCUAUCAAAACUAUUUGCCCCUCGGUCUCCUUGUUCUCCUAAUCCUGACCUACGCUGUGCUGCUCUCCUCCUGAGACACAUGCUUUUUUAGGGUAGGUUAGAGGUCAAGCAUCCUCCUGAUGAUUUCUUCAUUGUGCAGAUGAGCACAAUGCAUCUCAUCUACGAGAACAUCUCAUAGUAAGUGGUCGUCCAUACUUGAAAAUCCAUGCAGUAGAGAUGUUCUUGAUCUCAUGCACUGUUCUGUUUCUGACAAUAGCCAUUUCCAGAAGAUUCAGAAGAGGAUGCGUUGCAGAAAGCAGAUGGAGGAAAAUGCACUCAGUGUGAAAGUCAUAUUGGUAGACCCAUUGCAAAGUUCAAAUGUGAAGUGUAACAUAUUAUGUUCUUUCCAGAAAACUUGCCAGUGCUAAGUAUUGAUUAUCUUGAAAUGCAUCUACAAGUCAAAUUCUUCAUGAAACCAUCUUUAAGCACUGGUCAAGGAGAUAUAUUGUGGCAAUGAGUACUCUACUGUGUAAUGAGCAAAGUUGGAAAGCAUUUCUUUUGUCUGAUUGUAAAUGUUCUCCCCAAGCAACACCCUCCCUGCUGUGAUCUGAGAGUCCUUGUGCCUGAGCAGUAAGGCAGCACGAAGCCUCUAGAUCAUUCCUGUCUCAGUACAAAAAGUGAAACUUAUCGAAGAUCUAAAAAAACCCAAAUCCUUUCUCUGAAAUUUCUGAAGAUUUUCUGCAACCCCCGCUCCAAGGCCCUCAAUUGAAUUGUUGUAUGGUCCUGUAAGACUAUUUUUAACGCCAGCCCAUCCACCAGACAGAGCCUAUAGACAGAUGUUUUCCUCCAGAGCCAGCUUCUGGCGGAAGGUGUGACCACUUCUGCCUGAGCCCCGUACCCCGUAAGUUACUAUGCUUUCUACCCUUCUAAAAUGCCUGCUCCAUAGAUUUCUUCUUCUGAAGCAGUCGGAAUGCUUCCUAACCCAAUUGAAUGAAAAACAGACAACUUAGCUUAGGGAGCUUAAAUAAUUCACUUUCACAAUCUAGGUUACUUUGCCUGAGAAGGGUUUAAAAAUGUUUACAUGAAGAACUCAGCUGACAGAUACAAGAGGUCAGGAAUCCAUGGAAGAGAGGCAGCAAAAAACAGUAGGGAGUGCUAACUCUUUCCAGUGUUGCAGCUGAAUGCAGAGGGAGGUAUCAGGUCACAGACUGAAAGUGCCUACUGUUCAGAAAGAACGUGGGCAGCUGAUGUACGCAGCUAGUAGCAAAGCCGUGGGUUUUUUUUUUUUGCCUAGGAUACUGGUUGGGCUACAGUUAAAAAUGGAAAGCUAAACCAGAAAGAUGAUCAAAAUAAGGCAGAUUCUCUCACAUCUAAAAAGGAGAGUUACGCCUCACCCUUGUAUUGCAGCACUCUGAAUUCACCGAUAAAAUAGGAAGUGAAGAAUCGUAGACUAGAAUCAUGGAAUCAUAGAAUGGUUUAGGUUGGAAAGGACCUUAAAGCCCAUCUAGUUACAAUCCCUUGUGGUGUGGGGGGACACCUCCCACCAGCUCAGGCUGCCCAGGGCCCCAUCCAGCCUGGCCUUGAACGCCUCCAGAGACGGGGCAUCCACAACCUCCUUGGGCAACCUGUGCCAGGUAACAAGGGAGCUGGAAUUGAAUGAGCUUUUGAAUGCUGUUCCGAGAUCAUUUCUGAUGAGAAAGAUCAAAUGAGAGAACAAAUGCUCUUGCUACGUGUCACGACUGCUCUGAAAGAAGUGCGUCAUAAAACAGACAGCAAUAAAGCAUCUUCUACCCAAACUAAAAUCUUGCUUGCAUAAUAAGAAAAACAACUUCUAUUAUUAUCUGUACAAUUGCCACCUGGGUCCUACUUAUAUUCCUUGUUUGCAGUGUUGUCUAUGGAUUUAUUUAUAAAUGUUCAUAAACUGGGGAAGAGGUGAGAAGCAUGGAGGCAAAACCUGCAGGCUAAUCAGUAUUAUUUAAGGAAGGAGAGACCGGGAGACACUGCAAAGAUUUUCUGAAGGUUUUAUUCUGGAAUAAUAUGCUCAGCUUGGCCACAGUGUGCAAAAAAGGAUGUAGCUGAAGGAAAAAAAAAUCUGAAAGAUGGGCAUUAAAACUCACGUAAGAAUGGAAAAGUGUGAAUAUUAAAGGAAAAAAGCUGAAACUGUUAAUUUUAGAAACAGGACAAAAAAGGGAGGCUAAGAUGAAGUGCAUAAAAUGAACGCUCAAAAGAGGCACACAAGGAAUCUUCCAUGCACGUGCUUUUCACAAGAAAACAAUCACUGAAAUGGAACAGCAGUCAGCAUGAAAGGGAUGGAAGGAAAUAUUAUAAACACUGUACAACCUCCAUUGAUUGAUGGGGUGCUGGGUGAGAGAUUAGCUGUGCUGAAAAAUUUGCAUGAAAUAUGCAAACGUAAAGGAAUAGAGAUCAAAUUGUUGUACAGGAGAGAGAUAAGCCCCAAAAUUCCAUGGCAUUAACGUAGCCAAACUGUAAGUUAUACUGCUAGGAGGAAACCACUUACCACAAACACUCAUGCACCUGGCUUUGUAGGGUCAGGCCAUUACCAGGACAGAAUAUUUAACUAAAUAGAACACAAUUCAGAUUCAUUCCUAUGCAAGCACCAAGACAUUGGUGGGUAUCCUGAUUAAAGAUAAUGACUCAUUCCAGAAAAAUUUAGACAUCUAUAUUGAAUCACCUUGUUUGGCUUUUAGUGCCAGCAGCGUGAGGUAGCAAGAUUUGAUUAAUCAUGAUGUGAUGUCCACAAAUCCUUCAUAAAAGAUCCUUUCAAUUCCUCCCUCUCACUGCACUGACACUUGCAGUGUAUCAUGCAAGUGAGUAGGUAUUACAUGGGAAAGUGGGCGUAGUAAAACUUCUGUCCUCAGACGUCUCUGAAACUGUACAUUCUCAAUUGAAAAAAAAAAAAAGGAUUCCAAAGGCAAAAUUUGCUGGGUUUUUUUAUUUCCUUCUUCUAGCCUUCCUUCCUUUGCAAUCUUAAAUUCAAGUCCUAAUUCAGCAUAGUGUCAAACACUUUGAUACAUCUAUGAUAUGUAAUUACAGCUGUGAAGGUGCUGAAAUACUUUGCUAGAUAACAGUAUGUGCAUAUGCAUUUAAAGUUAGGCAUCUCUUUAAUUGCUGUGAACUUGUAAAAUUCUAGAUUUUAGUACUGAAAAUCCUUCUUUAAGUUCUCAAUCUAGAAACAAGGAUAGCCUUCUACGAUGGAGUGACAGCUUCAGUGGACAGCCAGAGAGCUGAGGUCAAUGGCAUUAUGUCCAGGGGGAGGUCACGAGUGGUGUCCCCCUGGGGUCCGUCUUGGGACCAGUGCUCUUCACAGUAUUUAUCAGUGACACAGACAAGUGGGAUCAAGUGCACCCUCAGCAGGUUUGUGGAUGACACCAUGCUGUGUGGUGCCAUCAAUAUAACAGAAGGAAGAGAUGCCAUCCAAAGGGACAUGGACAAGCUUGAGAAGAGGGCCCAUGCAAACCUCAUGAGUGCAAACUGUUGCGCUUGGGUUGGAGCAAUCCCAAGUAUGUGUACAGACUGGGAGAAGAUCUCACUGAGUGCAGCUCUGCGGAGAAAGUCUUGGGGUGGGAGUCCUGGUGGAUGAAAAGCUGAACAUGAGCCAGCAGUGUGUGCCUGCAGCCUGGAAAGCCAACAGUAUUCCGGGCUGCAUCAACAGAGGGUGGCAGCAGGGAGAGGGAGGGGAUUGUCCCCCUCUGCUCUGCCAUUGUAAAGGCCCAUCUGGAUACUACAUGCAGGCCUGGAGCCCCCAGCACAGAAACAGUACGGAGCUGAUGGAGUGAAGGGCUGUGAAGACGAUCAGAGGGCUGGAGAACCUCUCCCAUGUAGAGAGGUUGAGGGAGGUGGGCUUGUUUAGCUUGGAGAAGAGAAGGCUCUGGGAAGAUCUCAUUGCUGCCUUCCAUUACUUAAGGGAGCUUACAAGCAGGAGGGAGUCUGACUUUUUACACAGUCUGAUAGAGAUAAGAUGAGGGGAAACAGUUUUAGACUAAAAGAGAGAAAAAUUAGAUUAGAUUUUAUGGGGAAUUUUUUCACCGAGAGAGCAGUGAGUCCCUGGCACAGGCUGCCCAGGGAAGCUGUGGUUUCAAGGCCAGGUUGGAUGGGGCCCUGGGCAGCCUGAGCUGCUGCCUGUUUUAGAGGCUGGCAGUCCAGCAGGAGAGUUGGAACUAGCUGAUCUUUAAGCCUUUCUACAACUCUAUGAUAACUCUGUUUAGAUUGCUGGUGGCAGCUGGCUAUAUUUCAACAUCUAUCUAAAGAAUAAAGCUAUGCCAAUAUGAACCAUAAUAAUUCCUGGAAUUAUAUCAAAAAACAGAUAUGUGAAUUAACUUCUUUGCUCAAAAGAUUUAAAGACUACUCCCUCUGUGGGAUGUGUCACAAGAUUUUUGUAAGGAAUUUAUUACUUUGAAAUUUGCUAUGAAUCAGUACCAUAGUGCAUAUGACAUGAACGUGCAAAAGGGGAAGAUGAUCGUGAGCAGCAGCCUGACAGCCAGAGCCUGUUUAUCUGCUGUGGGAGUCUGUAUGUGAACGUGAGUAUCAUUAAGAGGCUAUAUAGAAUCACAGAAUCACCAAGGUUGGAAAAGACCUCUUUUAUAUGUUCUUAUAUCUUUUUUUACUGUGAAGUUCCAUUCUCUGUAUAAAGUAAAACAAAGGCUCGAUCAGGCGAUCGCCAUUGUUUCGAAUCUUAAAACAAAAUAUAUGACUCUUUCUUUGCUCUUCCAGGACUUAAAUAUCUCAUUGUUGAGCCAAGAAUAAAACAGCGCUGUCCUGCGGAAGCUCAUACCUUAUCCCAAUAUGCAGCUGCUGGAGUCAAGGUUGCCAACCGGGACCUCUGGAAAACUGGCCUCCAGUUCAGGUCUUUAACAAAGUGGCUGCAUUCCACUGGGUAUCUUCAGGGAUCUCCAAAAUACAUUGAUCUCCAGUUCUCCUCUAUUUUGUAGUCCAAGGUGUAGGCAGCACUCCUCUGAAAAAAAGAACAGUCUUAAUACUACCUCUUUCAUGCAUCUGUAUUGUAUUGAAACCUGACUUUAUAAGAAAUCUGGUCAGAUUAAAGGUGGUUUUAGCUCUGUGGAUGAGCUGUGAGAAGAGUGUUUAGGGCUGUGACUCAUGGCAGAUUAAAAACGGCUGCAGGGGAUGACAUCUAUAACAUGCACACAGAUUUCAACGUCCUCUAUUGCACCGACACUGGAACUUGUCCAGUCCCUUGAUUUGGUUCAAGGCAUCAAAGUGGCAGGAAACUACUUUAGAAAAAAAGAAAAAAAAGGGAGUGAACAGUUUCUGCUGAUUUUGUGCCACAGACUGGGUCACUGAGGGCCAUGAGUACGUGAGUUGGUGCUAGGAACAGGGUGGGAUCAUAUAGCCAUGGACUGAUCGGGGCUGUGGCAGCCUGAUUUAAAUUGUGAGAGAACUGUGAUCAGAGCCCUGUGGCUGGGUAUGGACAUCCUUUCCCGCACUCAGCUGUGCUAGCUGCUUCUCCCCAGCCUCCUCCACCCACCUAAUGGUGAUGCUGGCAGAAUCACAGAACGGUUAGCGCUGCUGAGAUCUUCCAGCCUAGCUGCCCCAUUCAAUGACAGACACUUACUCUUAAUGAGCUUAAGCUAACCAAACUAGGUUGUGAGACCAGCAGACAAUAAGCUCCAGAGGUAGGACAGGGCAAGAUGUGUGAUGGGUACACACAGCAAGAACCCCUGUAGCCACAACGACUUACAGUAUGCACGGCUGUUUGUACCCUUCAAGAAGGUGAAUGUUUCAUCCUCAGGAAAAAAACAAACAAGAAAAUAAAGAAAGAGACUACUAGGUGGCUUGACAACAUUUAUUCUUACAGGGAAGAAAUGAACAAAUAAAGAGCCUCUUUACGUUUAGCUAAGCAGAGAGACACAUCACAAGAGAUGGCUAAGAGCUGAAGCCAGGCAAAACUCACAUGAGAAAUAAGGCAUAAUUGUUCAACUGUGACAGUGAUUAACUGGUGGAACAGACUGCCCCGGGUAGGUUUUCCAUUUCUUCAAGUCUUCAGCUCAGGGCUGGAUGCCUUAGUGGAAAAUACUUUCAAUAAACACAAGAUUUGGGGCUCAGCACUAACGAACUCAGUAAAAUGCUGUUGCGCGUGUUAAGAAGGAGGUCAAGGUAAAUGACAUAAUGUUCCUCUUAGUCUUAAAAAUUGAUAAAGUAUAAAUGAAACAUCUUUUAUAAAGUUCCAUUGUGGAAAUGUUUAGGGUAUGCUUUCAUAUUCUUUCCUUGCCAGUGUCUUGUGGCAAUGGUUUGUCUGGAGUACUGCAGCUCCAGAUGAUCUGAUGUCCUCUCCUGCUGAACUCUCCUUUGGGGUCAGUCUCUCUCUGUCUGAAGCUUCUUACUAUGACGGCCUCCAAUUCAACAUUCUUUGUGUUUAAUUCAGAUUACAUUACGUAAAAGAAGAACUACAAAUCAGGGGAAGAGAAAGUAUGCUUUAGUACCAAGUGAAGGAUAAAUAGAAAGAAGCAUAUUUAGUCAGAUAGAACAGAUGCUACAUGUGAAUGAAGGCUGAGUAAAAUGCUUUUCACGUAGUCUUAGAUCUGCAAUUUUCUCAGCAAGUCAUGUCAAAAGCUUUCCAAGCCUCUAAAAAUCUGCGUUUUUUGUUUUUUUUUUAUAAAUUAAAAUAACAGAGCAGCUCUCGAAAGAGCUCUUUUCCUCAGUAGGGUCCAAAGUUCAUUAGUAAAGAAGUGAGCACUAUUAUUUCCUUCAGCUUUAAACGUGGAAGUGAAAAAAUGAGUUGUCCAAAGCUAGGCAGGAACCCGUGACAGUGAUCCUGCUGUCUCUAUCUCAGAUGAGUAUCUCACAAGAUCACACAUAUACGUGUGCAGCAGUGUGCAGCACACUGACAAAUAAAUGAUGUCAGGUGGGAGAAGAGAGGAUAAGAAGAUAAGAAGUACUUCAAGCGCAGCUUGAAAUUCAGCAUGCAGCUGUGCAGCUGCUUUGCAAGGAUGAAGCUAGAUACCUGUGUGCAAUCUGAAUAUAGGAAUGAAACCCUAAUUUGGAACAGUUAGCAUGUAUGCUAUUUGUGCACUAGGCUAUUCUUAUAAGUUUUCUAUAUGUAAACUGAAUCUUCUUUACUAUAAUUAAAGCCCACUGCCUCUUGUCCCAUAAAAAACAAAUUACUUCUUCUUUUCAUUGGUCUUUCAUUUCUUUCAUGCCCUAUGAUCACAUCUCAUCUCAGCUUUCUGUUGUUUAGGGGAAGAAGUUCCGAUUCCUUCAGCUUCCCCAUUGCAGGUCACGGUUUCAACCUUCUCACUGUUUCUACUGGUUCUUCUCUGGGUACUCUCAAAUUGAGUCAUACUGUUCUGGAUCUGUAGUGCCUGAAACUGGAUAAACAGUUGAGACCUUAGCUGCAGUGGAAGACUUUAUAUCUGCUAUAAUCUCCUCAAUCUCCUUCCAGACACCUGGUCCUUACUUGUGUGCUCCCUGUCCCAUGCUUGUGCAGUUGACCAUUUCUGCCUAAGGGUACUAUCUUGAAUUUAUCACCAUUAAAAAUCCAUUUUCAGAGCCUUUGAGAAAUAUAUGAGGAACUUUUGGAAUUCUAAUCCUAUGUACCAGUGUGCUUUCAGUCCCUUCCUAUCUCUGUCAUUUGCAUGUGGAAUGGGUCCAUUUUCCAUUCUAGCAUUCCAUGAAGUUUGUUUCAUUUGACACUCACUCAUACCCCUGCACAGCCUCUUUUGUCAAGCCAACACCACCGACCACUUGCGUGGUGAAGUGGUAAACCAGGCUGGGAGAAAACUAAAACAACAAAAAUAGGGGUAUAGUCCAAAGCUGGGUGCAUGCCCUGUGCUAAUUCACCAUGCGAGCUUGUGCCAACACAAGGAAGAGGACAGAAUAGUAUGGCUGGGAGUGUAAGCUCACAACAGGUUUAAGACAAACUAAGCCCCUGUUGCUGCUCAUAGGAAUGACCCCGUGCACCUCCAUGUUCUAGUUUUCUACCUGAUGCUGGACGUAUUCUUAAAAAUACCACAUUCCUUUUGGCUUGGUUAGCUUUCAGUCUGAUGAGAUCCCUGAUCUGGCUGAUCACACAUCUAAGUGGUCACCAAUUUUGGCUCAAGAUAAGUAUUGGACAUAUGAAAGGGGUCCAUAAAAAAGUAGUUUCAUGACUGGCUUUCAUCUGCCUAGGAUGAUGUUUUGGCCUCAUUUAUCAUACCUUCCAUCACCUUGGUGUGUUGCUGUGUGACUGAUAAAAAGGACACACCAGUGGUGUACUGGGGUUCUUAUAUCAGUGACUUUGCUUCCUUAGCCGUCCACAUUGCUAAGGGCCUUCCACCUGUAACUCUGCUUUCCAUCCCCAGCUCUGUAUCUUCUCGCCCAAGAUACCCUGGCAAUGUUUCCCAGAGCUUCUGGGGCAGUAUCUUUUUCUAUCAUUUUCAUGUUGUUCUCAUGCUGUUACUCUCAUGACCUUGCACCUGCAAACUUUGAUAGUUUUCUUGGCAGAUCCUUAUGGGAAGUAAUUGCUACGAGCAUGAGAAUCGCCCUUUCCCCCAACUUUUCCUACCCUUGUUUGUUGCUUCUAGUUUAUAUUAGAGGGGGCACAAAGAUUAACAACCAACCAGCAUGCACCACCUGCGACAUAAGCACUUACAAGCCACAGAGUUCGAGUAGGUACUGAUGAAAACUGUACAGAUACUAUGAGAAAAGCACCACAGUGGGUGGAGAGGAGUGUAGAAAGGGGUCCAAGAGAUGAUAUUUAUCUCCCCACAUUUUUUUUCCAAGUUGCCCACUUCAAAGAGUUCCCCUUUUCUCUCUCUCUUACUCACUCUCUCUCCAGUUUAUUUGCACUGUUGAAUUCAAUUAUAUGUAUGACCUCAGCUACAAAUACUGCUAAUAAAUCUUUGCCCCAAUAAA